rnacentral:tRNA from 1 species
GGCCUCGUGGCUCAGCCGGUAGAUCACUCGCAAUACUAAGGCGAGGGUGGUAACCAUACGUGGGUUCGAAUCCCGCCGGGGCCA